GACGGAGGUGGCAAGCGUUGUUCGGAAUUACUGGGUGUAAAGGGCAUGUAGGCGGCCCGUUAAGUCGAUUGUGAAAGCCCUCGGCUCAACCGAGGAAUUGCGAUCGAAACUGGCAGGCUUGAGUGCAGGAGAGGAAAGCGGAAUUCCCGGUGUAAGGGUGAAAUCUGUAGAGAUCGGGAGGAACACCAGUGGCGCAGGCGGCUUUCUGGCCUGUAACUGACGCUGAAAUGCGAAAGCUAGGGGAG
rnacentral:rRNA from 1 species